ACAGGUGAGCUCAUCUUCUUACCCAAAUCUACCGCGACCAUGGAUUCGGGGACGAAGGGCGGCGGAGGUGGGACUUUGACGGCGCAUGUACCCAGGGAGGACGGCGGUCGGAUGCGGGACCAGCUGCGGCUGGUCGGGCACGCCGCUGCGGCAGCGCGGCGUGGGGCUUGCGGUGCCGGAGCAGAUGGCGCGGAUGCGGAGAAUCGCCGCUCGUACGCCGCCUGAGAGAGGCCAUCACAAGCCAUCGGCUGUUCAACUUUGUUCCUUUCCUCAAAGGCUGAGACGUGCAACUCACAAAACUCCAAAAACAUGUGCUGUAAUGUCUUUGUUUCUUAGAGCUGAACCACACUGCACUUCAGGUAUCAGUGCAAAUGCUUUAGCCUAAGAAACAGAGUGGUAUAAAUAUUUACAAACUCAGAUACCCACUAGUCCACCCACAGAUAUUCUGCACACAAACACAAUAGUAUCAUUACAUCGGAGGGAGCAACAAAAGCUCUCUGCCAGCAAUGGCGGAGGUUGGGGGCAUGCCUGUGAGUGCUGUGGGGAAACAACUCGCUAGCAAGCUUAUGAAGGAGGAGAUUGCUCUGCUGUGGCCCUGUGGGGCUUCCAGGACGAAGUGGAAGGCUUGGAGGAGAAAAUGAAAGAUCUGGAGGCCGUGACGCAUGAUGCUGACGAUAGGCUGCGCCGAGGAGAAAUAGAUGGGGCAGCAGUUGGGCGGUGGCUCACUAAAUUUAAGUCCGUCGCCUACGAGGUUGAGGAUGUCCUCAAUGAGUUUGAUGCCAAUGAGCUCAUCAAGAAGACCCAAUCAAACCUACGGCGCAUUUCACCAUGCUCCACCUACGGCGCUCCUCCGACCACCGGCUGAUUGUGUACUCCGAUGCCGACUGGGCAUCUAAUGGGAGUCACGGUGUGUUCCAUAAUUCGAAUGUCUCUGCCUGAAGCAUACAAAAUACUAUGGCCUUGAAGGAACUCUACAUCUUGGACUGCUCACAAGAUUUCUCACAACCGGACAGUUACGUUAAAUAAUGCUGAGUUUGCCGCAAAGCUCUGGCGGUUGGGGACUAUUGAUUCAGAAGGGUAACAGGGGAAUGAUUUAGGAGAGGAAUAAGAAGGCUGGGAUUGAUGGCUGCAACAUGGAGAGCUAAAAGAAACAAACAGCCAGAGGCGAUUGGAACUCUUUUAUCUGGAGAAGACUGUAAUGCUUCGUGUCCUUUGUCAAUACAAUUCUGGGGCUCUCCUAUAAUGCCAUGGGAAAGAGUGAUAGGAUUCAGAACCAGAGGCUUCCGCCAUAUACAGUAUUUCGUUAAUGGGGCAGCACCAGCGGGAGUCGAGAUCCACCACCACGAGCUCUAGUUCAUCUGUUAAUCGGAGUGUAGGUCUGAUCCAGUGGCAACAACCAGUGGAGGAGGCCUGAACAAGCCCACGUAUUUCUGAAAAUCCAGUCAUAUUUGCUAACUUCCACAUCUUCAACUGCAGCUGCAUUGCGAGGAAGUUUUACUCAUUGUUGGAGAGGGUAGGAUGCGGUUGAAGAGUGAAGCCGGUAAUAGCAGAGCAUGGAGAGGCAAGUUAAAUUUCUGCUGGCAUUAGCACCUGCAAAGUUGUGAUGAGGAACGAAGGAACCUUGCGGGAGAAAGUUUCAGAACAUCCACGCUUUUCUCUGCAAAUUUUUAGUAUCAAUUGAACUUGACUGACUUUGUUCUGAAAAGAUGCAACAUAGUGAACUGUUGACCGCCACAUUCCGUAGGUUCAUAGUGAACUGCUGAACCUUCCAAUAUACUGAGCUUUGUUAACCAAUAAAUAGUUUGCGUUGUUCUGGCUAAUUUCAAUCUGUAUGCUGAACUUUAAGUAUCUACUCGGCUUCGAAAGCAAAGAUGGAUAAUUCUUCUCACAGUAUGCUCUCUUUGGCAGCAACAGCUGAGGGUGAGCACCAUGGAUUUUCAACAUGGGAAGAUGGAAUGGAAUACUGCUUCUGAAAAGCAGGAUUGAAACCACCCGCUUCUCUAUAUGUUGGUUUGUACGGAGAGAGCAAGUGAAAUCGUCAACACAUUCUCAUCAAGAGUUGAUAAACAGGGACAGAGACUGGAUAACUCAUCGACGUUGCGACAACAUUCUCUGCGCUUGUACAGGUGGGAUGGCACAACUGUUGGUCUGGUCAGCUAAGACAGCAGUCAGACUGAGUCGUGACGGGAGUUGAAGGCGAAGGUCAGAACUCUCUGUCUUAUGGAACAAUGAAUGACAGAAUGAUAAGAAGGGAAACUCCGUGAGCCUGAAAGAUUGACACCUAAGGUUUUGCACAUGAUAUGCCCAAUAUGGCCUCGGUAAACCAACAUUAUUUCUCUAAGCUGGAAUGAUAUGAAAUACUGGUACUACAAAUCAUCCGGGAAACAGUAUUAUGCUUGUUGAAAAGAUUCGCAAAGCAGCGGACAUUACAUACCCAUGUUCAGAGGCCAUGGUACUCUGCUCAUGCUGAAAUAGUUGCAGAUAAAAUACAUUGUAUAUGUACAGUAGAAUAUAUAUGUCUUUUAUUGGA